UACAGAGGAUGCAAGCGUUAUCCGGAAUGAUUGGGCGUAAAGCGUCUGUAGGUGGCUUUUUAAGUCCGCCGUCAAAUCCCAGGGCUCAACUCUGGACAGGCGGUGGAAACUACCAAGCUGGAGUACGGUAGGGGCAGAGGGAAUUUCCGGUGGAGCGGUGAAAUGCGUAGAGAUCGGAAGGAACACCGGUGGCGAAAGCGGCACGCUGGGCCUCUUCUGACGCUGAGGCGCGAAAGCCAGGGGAGCAAACGGG
rnacentral:rRNA from 1 species